GAGUUUGAUCCUGGCUCAGAUUGAACGCUGGCGGCAUGCCUUACACAUGCAAGUCGAACGGCAGCACGGGAGCUUGCUCCUGGUGGCGAGUGGCGAACGGGUGAGUAAUGCAUCGGAACGUAUCCUGGAGUGGGGGAUAACGUAGCGAAAGUUACGCUAAUACCGCAUAUUCUGUGAGCAGGAAAGCGGGGGACCUUCGGGCCUCGCGCUCUUGGAGCGGCCGAUGUCGGAUUAGCUAGUUGGUGAGGUAAAGGCUCACCAAGGCGACGAUCCGUAGCAGGUCUGAGAGGAUGAUCUGCCACACUGGAACUGAGACACGGUCCAGACUCCUACGGGAGGCAGCAGUGGGGAAUUUUGGACAAUGGGGGCAGCCCUGAUCCAGCCAUGCCGCGUGAGUG
rnacentral:rRNA from 1 species